AACUAACGACCAUACGCGCCAUAAUGCACCCGAAACCUUCAGAACUCGGAAGUCAAGCUGGUGUCGGCCUGCCUAGUACUGCGGAGGGGGACCACGCGGGAACAUCAGGUGUUGUUAGUU
rnacentral:rRNA from 1 species